rnacentral:tRNA from 1 species
GGCACUGUAGCAUAGUGGUUAAAGCUGCAGCCUGCAGUGCUGGCAUCCCAUAUGGGUGCCGGUUCAAGUCCUGCCUGCUCUA